CGCGCUCGGGGCUCGAACCCGCCGCAGCCCCGAAGGCCUCCGCGGCAGGACGGCGGCCACCGCUGCUCGCGUUCCGCGUCGGGACCCCUGAAAUGUCAGAGGCAGCCUGCAUGUCUGUAUUUCAAGAGCGCCGAGUUCAAGCUGUCCACUGAUUUAAAACUCUUCACGGUUUUUCACACUCAUGUUGAAUCGUGCAGCGUUUGUCUCUUCCCCGUCGGCGUAAACAUACCCUCGCGUGGAGGGACUUAAACGCGGACGCUGUGGUAUUGGUGGAUGCAGAAACGUUUGUUAUAAAACCUUUGUGUGGACCCUAUCGUGUACAGGCUAAUAGAGGUUAGCAUUUCUCGUUUCGUCCUGGCUCUGCGAUUAGUCCCUGCGCCGAGUGCUUCGCGGUGUAAUGUGUGCGAACCUCACAACCCUUCCAGGCAGCUAAAAACAAAACAAAGCAAAGCAAAGCAAAGCAAAAACAGUUGGAGCUUUCAGCAGUUCUCCGCCUAUAAAUAUCCUCAGCCAGACCUGUGAGUUCCUCAGAAUGAAAAUCUCAUUCAUUUGAAUGAAAAUUGGUGCACACCCACAAAGAACUGAGAGAAGAGUCAAGUUGCCUUUGAAGACAGAAGCACAAUACUGGUGAUGAAGAGGAGACCUGAGCUAAGAAAAAGAAGUCAUCCCUGGGACAUGAAGCUGUACAAUGGCCUCUCUGCAUGGUACCUGUCUGCUUCUCCCUCCCUGGAUGAUUAGGCUCAUAGCUCAGACUUGGAAAUGGAAUGUCCUGUACAAAGAUCUGAUAGUUUUAAAUAUUUCCAUUAUGAUCAUCAUAUAGAAAAGUAAGCAAGGAAAUGGGACAAAUGUUGCAUCUAGAAAUAAACAAUUAAACUCCUAGUGAAACAAAAAAGUGAUGGAAGAUAAUACACUACUGGAUUUGGAUGUAUUACAGAGCUUGGGAAUGGCCAGAACAUUUGAAAACAGCUCUCAAUUCAAGACACUAGAACUUUGAGACACAUAGGCAUUUCAGAUGGGGGACAAAAUGACCAUAAAAAGAAGAGAGACUUAAGGAAGAGUAACACCAUGGCUGUGAAAUGCCCUUUGAUAUGGACAGGGUUGUGUUAUUUUCCAUUUCAUCUCUUGGUCUUCUGUGGUCUUUCUCUUGAUGUGUAAUAGUGCUUUUUAUUUGCUACUUAACAUGUCUUUUAUGUAAAGAAAAAUUAAAAUUUAUAAUUAUCAGUGUGAAUUUUACUGUUCAUCUUUAUAGUGUGCAUAGCUAGUUUUAAAUGCAAAUAUGAGAGUACUUAAUUUGUGUGAGGAAUUAUUGAAUUCAUACAGUUUGUAUUUUGUAAGUUUGCUCAUGCCUACAUAUUUUGUUCUUACCACAAGGGUAGAAACUGUAUAAAAUUAACUCAACUUUUUACUUCACUUCUUGAUAAGUGCAUAUUCUAUCAACACUCUCUACUUUUAGCUUACUAACGAGUAAGGAAGGACUAAUAAGUAAGGAAGGAGAAGGACCUAGGGGUUGCUGCCUGUCACUCUGUCAAGACACUUACCUUGUGGACACCUGGGUAGCUCAGUCAGUUAAGCAUCUACCUUUGGCUCAGGUCAUUAUCUCCGGGUCC